AGGCCUAAGCAACGCCAAAGUGCAAAUUUGGCUUAGAAAUGAUUUUCAUAGGCCUA
rnacentral:tRNA from 1 species